ACGCCGGGAAAAAGCCCGAGGGCUCCGCCCCUUCCGCCCAGGGCCCCACCCUUUCCGCCCAGGGCCCCACCCUUUCCGCCUGGUUUUUCGGUUGCCGCGGUUACUACGCGCUCUUCUUUCAUCCGGGCUCUACUGGUGAAAAUAACUGCAGACCGCUGGUAAAAAGUUGGAAGAGCUUUCGUUAAGCGUCGGAUAUGUAAAGUGCUGAGUUAGGGGCUGGACUAGAGACGUUGGGACACCUCCCGGGAACAGCAGCCUGGAGGGGAAAAAUCUCCUAAGUGGUCAUUCGGCCUUGGCGCUGGGACACGGGAGUGCGGCGACAGCCAUAUGUCUAUCCAUCUUGGCACUUCUUUUCCGUCCGCUGCCUUUGAAGAUGGGUGUGCCCGGCAGGCUGUGAAAGAUAAACAUUAGAGGGUUGUUUAGAAGACUUUUUUGACCUGAGUCCAUGAGGUGCAUACCCUUCGUUUGGCGGAGAAACCAGUAGCUUCUGAAGAUCAGGGAUACCCACGGGCCACAAGUGCGAGGCAUUGCAGACAUUUCGAACCCAGACUUCCAGCCUGGAGACAUCCACACGCUUUCAGUUUCUUGCACUGGUACUUCAUUCUGUCUUAUGAUUGCCACCACUCGUAACUGAGAGUUGGGUGCCCUCAAGUUUUGAGUGUCUGCAGGGUACCUUUGAGCCUUCUUAGCUGUGUAGUGAGUGGGGGGAAUGGAGAAAAUGAAGGACAGAUGACUGAUUUGUAGUAUUUCAUUUGGACACUGCCCUUGCCGCACAAGCAGAGCAGCUUGAACCUCUUUGAGCAAGAGUCGAGAGUUCUUUUACAGCUAAUUACCCCCUAGUUAAACUUGAUCAUACUGUGCUGUUUUCUUCGUCUCCAUUAUCAAUGUAAUACGGCUCCUGAUAAAAGUUAAAUUCGCCGGGCGUGGUGGCUCACCCCUGUACUCCCAGCACUUUGGGGGCUGAGGCAGGUGGAUCACCUGAAGUCAGGAGUUCGAGACCAGCCUGGCCAACAUGGUGAAACCCCAUCUCUACUAAAAAUACAAAAGUUAGUCGAGUGUGGUGGCGGGCGCCUGUAAUCCCAACUACUCGGGAGGCUGAGGCAGGAGAAUCGCUUGAACCCGGCGGGGGCGGAGGUUGCGGUGAGCUGAGAUCGUGCCACUGCACUCCAGCCUGGGAGACAGAGUGAAACUCCGUCUCAAAAAAAAAAAAAAAGCGGGCACUGUGGCUCACGCCUAUAAUCCCAGCAUUUUGGGAGGCCGAGGCGGGAGGAUCUCGAGGUCAAGAGUUGGAGACCAGCCUGACCAACAUGGAGAAACCCCGUCUCUACUAAAAAUACAAAAUUAGCCGGGCGGGGUGGUGGGCACCUGUAAUUCCAGCUACUCGGGAGGCUGAGGCAGGAGAAUCCUUUGACCCCGGGAGGCAGAGGUUGCGGUGAGCCGAGAUCGCCCCGCUGCACCCCAGCCUGGGCAACAGAGCAAGAUUACGUCUCGAAAAACAAACAAACAAACAAAAAACAAUUUAAAAGACACAGAAUGGACUGGUGGCAGUGGCCCACGCCUGUAAUCCCAGCACUUUGGGAAGCCAAAGCGGAAGGAUCGCUUGAAGUCAGGAGAACAGCCUGGGCAGCAUAGUGAGACCUCGUUAAUACUUGAAAAAAAAAAAAAAAAAGUUUUGCUCUUUGCAGUAAAUCCUGCUGCUGCUCACUCCUUGGGCCUGCACUGCCUUUAUGAGCUGUAACACUCACUGGAAGGUCUGCAGGUUCACUCCUGAAGCCAGCAAGACCGUGAACCCACCGGGAGGAGGGAACAGUGCCGUCUUUAUGAGCUGUAACACUCUGUAACACUCACUGCAAAGGUCGAAGGACUGCAGCUUCACUCCUGAAGUCAGCGAGACCACGAACCCACCAGAAGGAAGAAACUCCGGACACAUCUGAACAUCAGAAGGAAUAAACUCUGGACACACCAUCUUUAAGAACUAUAACACUCACCUCGAGGGUCUGUGGCUUCAUUCUUGAAGUCAAGGAGACCAAGAACCCACCGGAAGGAACCAAUUUUGGACACAAUAGGAAAUCUCUCAUGUGGAAUACUAUAUCAAAAGAGAGAAGCCAAAAUGAUAUCAUAUGCUGAAAAUGUUAAUGGAAUUCCACAGCCUUGCCUAUUAAAAACUCCACAGUUUGAGCACAGCAUGGAAUCAAAAUUUAAAAAAUAAACAUGACAUAGUAUUUUUAUCAUUUGA